GACGAACGCUGGCGGCGUGGAUUAGGCAUGCAAGUCGAACGGUAUCAUCCUUUCGGGGGUGAGAGAGUGGCGAACUGGUGAGUAACACGUAGGUUAUCUACCCUCAAGACGGGGACAACCCAGGGAAACUUGGGCUAAUACCGGAUGUGAGCAACUUUUAGUUGUUUGAAAGGUGGCGUAAGCUGUCGCUUGGGGAUGAGCCUGCGUCCUAUUAGUUAGUUGGUGAGGUAACGGCUCACCUAGGCAAUGAUAGGUAGGCGGCCUUAACGGGUGGUCGCCCACACUGGGAUUGAGAUACGGCCCAGACUCCUACGGGAGGCAGCAGUCGAGAAUAGUCUACAAUGGUCGGAAGACUGAUAGUGCGACGCCGCGUGAACGAUGAAUCCCUUCGGGGUGUAAAGUUCUUUUAUAUGUGAGCAGUGCUUCUUAUAUUAACAGUAUGGGGAGAGAGAUAUUAGCAUAUGAAUAAGCAACGGCUAACUCCGUGCCGAGCACGCCGACGUAA
rnacentral:rRNA from 1 species